GUAGGGUGGAACAUCCGGUAAUUCAGGCUACGCUGAUUAGUUGAAUUCGUCCGGCUGUCGGCUGAGCGGAGCGAGUUUGAAACAAGUGGAGAAGUAAACAAGACUGAGUUGAGAAAAUCAAAACGGUAACAAUUCACAAUGAUACGACCUAAGUGUAGUGCCGUGUAAAGCCUCUGGGAAGAUGAGGAAUUACGGUAUUGAGGUGAUCAGCAACACGCCCAUCCAGCUACACGCUCCUGACGGACUCAAAGCCAACAGGAAUGGGGAGUUUAAGGAGACACAGUACUCCUUCUAGAAGGCGUUCGGCAUCAAGACGUCCCAGAUGGAAUUGUUUGAGGAUGUUUCCAAGCCCCUCGUUGAUGACCUCAUUCACAGCAAGAACGCCGUAAGAGAAGGUCAGAGGGCAGCCCUGCCCAGGGGGACGACUGUACGGAGGGACACUGGACAGACGUGGAGACCAGGGUAAGAGAAGGUCAGAGGGCAGCCCUGCCCAGGGGGACGACCGUACGGAGGGACACUGGACAGACGUGGAGACCAGGGUAAGAGAAGGUCAUCAGAGGGCAGCCCUGCCCAGGGGGACGACUGUACGGAGGGACACUGGACAGACGUGGAGACCAGGGUAAGAGAAGGUCAUCAGAGGGCAGCCCGGCCCAGGGGGACAACCGUACGGAGGGACACUGGACAGACGUGGAGACCAGGGUAAGAGAAGGUCAUCAGAGGGCAGCCCGGCCCAGGGGGACGACCGUACGGAGGGACACUGGACAGAAGUGGAGACCAGGGUAAGAGAAGGUCAUCAGAGGGCAGCCCGGCCCAGGGGGACGACCGUACGGAGGGACACUGGACAGACGUGGAGACCAGGGUAAGAGAAGGUCAUCAGAGGGCAGCCCGGCCCAGGGGGACGACCGUACGGAGGGACACUGGACAGACGUGGAGACCAGGGUAAGAGAAGGUCAUCAGAGGGCAGCCCGGCCCAGGGGGACGACCGUACGGAGGGACACUGGACAGGCGUGGAGACCAGGGUAAGAGAAUGUCAUCAGAGGGCAGCCCUGCCCAGGGGGACGACCGUACGGAGGGACACUGGACAGACGUGGAGACCAGGGUAAGAGAAGGUCAUCAGAGGGCAGCCCGGCCCAGGGGGACGACCGUACGGAGGGACACUGGACAGACGUGGAGACCAGGGUAAGAGAAGGUCAUCAGAGGGCAGCCCUGCCCAGGGGGACGACCGUACGGAGGGACACUGGACAGACGUGGAGACCAGGGUAAGAGACGGGGUUUCACUCACUCCACUGGCUAUUGUACUGUUUUUAGUCUGGUCCCAGAUCAGAACUCGUAUGGUCAUUGUCGCCCUUGACUGACCAAAGGGAGUUUUCAAGACCGCGCAAUCCCAUCUCGUACCAGGCUGUCAUCAUAACCAUUCUAGAAGCUUCCACAUUGUGUGUUCCAGAUGAGGGCUGGAUGGAUCCAGGGUCCAGGCUACCAGCACCGUGGAUAUCAGAGGCGCAGAAAGCCCUGAGAUGGUCCAGUCCUGUGCUGUCUGGGCUGCUCCAUACACCUCAUCCCCUCCCUCCUCAACCCUCACCCCCUUCCCUCCUCAAACCUCACCCUCCUCAACC